CACGUAGGGCGCAAGCGUUGUCCGGAAUUAUUGGGCGUAAAGAGCUCGUAGGCGGUCUGUUGCGUCCGCUGUGAAAACUCGGGGCUUAACCCCGAGCCUGCAGUGGAUACGGGCAGACUAGAGGUAGGUAGGGGGAGAAUGGAAUUCCCGGUGUAGCGGUGAAAUGCGCAGAUAGUCGGAGGAACACCGGUGGCGAAGGCGGUUCUCUGGGCCUUACCUGACGCUGAGGAGGCGAAAGCGUGGGGAGCGAACAGG
rnacentral:rRNA from 1 species